rnacentral:rRNA from 1 species
CACGUAGGCACCAAGCGUUGUCCGGAUUUAUUGGGCGUAAAGAGCUCGUAGGCGGUUGAGUAAGUCGGGCGUGAAAACUCUGGGCUUAACCCAGAGCCGCCACACGAUACUGCUCUGACUUGAGUUCGGUAGGGGAGCAGGGAAUUCCUAGUGUAGCGGUGAAAUGCGCAGAUAUUAGGAGGAACACCGGUGGCGAAGGCGCUGCUCUGGGCCGAUACUGACGCUGAGGAGCGAAAGCGUGGGUAGCAAACAGG